AUUGAACGCUGGCGGAAUGCUUUACACAUGCAAGUCGAACGGCAGCACGGGGGCAGCCCUGGUGGCGAGUGGCGAACGGGUGAGUAAUACAUCGGAACGUGCCCGGUCGUGGGGGAUAACGUAGCGAAAGUUACGCUAAUACCGCAUACGAUCUGAGGAUGAAAGCGGGGGACCUUCGGGCCUCGCGCGAUCGGAGCGGCCGAUGUCAGAUUAGGUAGUUGGUGGGGUAAAGGCAUACCAAGCCGACGAUCUGUAGCUGGUCUGAGAGGACGACCAGCCACACUGGGACUGAGACACGGCCCAGACUCCUACGGGAGGCAGCAGUGGGGAAUUUUGGACAAUGGGCGCAAGCCUGAUCCAGCCAUUCCGCGUGCAGGACGAAGGCCUUCGGGUUGUAAACUGCUUUUGUACGGAACGAAAAGGCUCUGGCUAAUACCUGGGGCUCAUGACGGUACCGUAAGAAUAAGCACCGGCUAACUACGUG
rnacentral:rRNA from 1 species